AGUGAACGCUGGCGGUAGGCCUAACACAUGCAAGUCGAACGGCAGCACAGUAAGAGCUUGCUCUUACGGGUGGCGAGUGGCGGACGGGUGAGGAAUACAUCGGAAUCUACUUUUUCGUGGGGGAUAACGUAGGGAAACUUACGCUAAUACCGCAUACGACCUACGGGUGAAAGCAGGGGAUCUUCGGACCUUGCGCGAUUGAAUGAGCCGAUGUCGGAUUAGCUAGUUGGCGGGGUAAAGGCCCACCAAGGCGACGAUCCGUAGCUGGUCUGAGAGGAUGAUCAGCCACACUGGAACUGAGACACGGUCCAGACUCCUACGGGAGGCAGCAGUGGGGAAUAUUGGACAAUGGGCGCAAGCCUGAUCCAGCUAUACCGCGUGUGUGAAGAAGGCCUUCGGGUUGUAAAGCCCUUUUGUUGGGAAAGAAAAGCAGCAGGUUAAUACCCCGCUGUUCUGACGGUACCCAAAGAAUAAGCACCGGCUAACUUCGUG
rnacentral:rRNA from 1 species